rnacentral:tRNA from 2 species
GCCGGUGUAGCUCAGUUGGCCAGAGCACGUGAUUUGUAAUCUCGGGGUCGGGGGUUCGAAUCCCUCCACCGGCU